rnacentral:rRNA from 1 species
GAUGAACGCUGGCGGCGUGCCUAAUACAUGCAAGUCGAGCGAACAGACGAGGAGCUUGCUCCUCUGACGUUAGCGGCGGACGGGUGAGUAACACGUGGAUAACCUACCUAUAAGACUGGGAUAACUUCGGGAAGCCGGAGCUAAUACCGGAUAAUAUAUUGAACCGCAUGGUUCAAUAGUGAAAGACGGUUUUGCUGUCACUUAUAGAUGGAUCCGCGCCGCAUUAGCUAGUUGGUAAGGUAACGGCUUACCAAGGCGACGAUGCGUAGCCGACCUGGGAGGGUGAUCGGCCACACUGGAACUGAGACACGGUCCAGACUCCUACGGGAGGCAGCAGUAGGGAAUCUUCCGCAAUGGGCGAAAGCCUGACGGAGCAACGCCGCGUGAGUGAUGAAGGUCUUCGGAUCGUAAAACUCUGUUAUUAGGGAAGAACAAAUGUGUAAGUAACUAUGCACGUCUUGACGGUACCUAAUCAGAAAGCCACGGCUAACUACGUG